GACGAACGCUGGCGGCGUGCUUAACACAUGCAAGUCGAACGGAAAGGCCUGCUUUCCCUUGUGGAUUGCGGGUACUCGAGUGGCGAACGGGUGAGUAACACGUGAGUGAUCUGCCCCCAACUUGGGUAUAAGCCUGGGAAACUGGGUCUAAUUCCCGAUAGGACUGCAGGGUGGUGCCUGUGGUGGAAAACGAUUUUCUAGUGGUUGGGGAUGAGCUCGCGGCCUAUCAGCUUGUUGGUGGGGUAAUGGCCUACCAAGGCGGCGACGGGUAGCCGGCCUGAGAGGGUGGACGGCCACAUUGGGACUGCGAUACGGCCCAGACUCCUACGGGAGGCAGCAGUGGGGAAUAGUGCACAAUGGGCGGAAGCCUGAUGCAGCGACGCCGCGUGGGGGAUGACGGCCUUCGGGUUGUAAACUCCUUUCGACCGCGAGGAAGCCACCUGGUUGGAAGGGUGGUGACGGUAGUGGUAGAAGAAGCACCGGCUAACUACGUG
rnacentral:rRNA from 1 species